AAAAUCGGUAAUUGAUGAUUUUGACGUCUAUUUUCUAACGAACUUCGUUAAUCGAUUCUUGAACUACCGAAGUUCGUUUAGAAACGUGUAAACAAAUCGGUUUGUCAUCAUUUUUUCGGUAAAAAACGCCGAGUAAACUGUAAAACAAUCCUGCUGUCAUAUGCCGCUGUCAAAACUUACGUCAAACCCCGUCUCACUCUCACAGCCGUGAUUAGUUAAUCGCAUCUCGCUUUCGCUCAAGAAAAGCUAGUCGUCUCGAGUUUUCCCUUGUACGCGAGCGGGAUGUCUUGCAUCAAGCAGCCGUUGAUCAGUUGCGAGCAAAAAAAGCGCAAUGCACGCAAGCGGAAUAGUUUUUUUUUUGUUUUCACGUAGCAGCAUCGGGAGCUUCAUCUUCAUCAUCACCCAUCCCACCAGCAGCAGUAAUCGUAGAUUGGAGCCGUUCAAUGUACAGCUGCUGGUCGGUGAAAUGAUUAAUCCUCAAAAGCAACAACUAGCGUUUCCGGACCAGUACUUAAAUAAGUAGUCAUGGUACCAACAGUUUCAUCAGCAUCAUUUGACGGGUCGCAGAAACACUAUUUUAUUCAACCGGGUUGCAUAAAUGGAGGAACAAUCCAUCCGACGGACGAAAGCAACCAAGUCUUUGGUCACCCAUCCAUAACAAAAAAAAAACCCUUUAAUUCUAUUCUGAAACCGAUAUUUAUCCAUAUUUUUUUACUCUUGUCGUGUUCCAGACAAUGACUGUUAACAGGCAGUUCAGCGCCGACUUCGGCUCCGAUAAAUAUUGCCAGCUCUACUGACCAGACGAAUCACACUAACAGCAGCAGCCUCUACAUUAAAAUGUACAGCUCCUGUGGCAGUUCACAGUAUGUACAAUUCAUUCUACAAUGGCAGCUACAUCCCUAUUUCCCACGACGUGGCCCUGUUACUGAUCAAAUUUAUCAAUUGUUUUCGUGCGGUGGACACUUUGCACGAUGUUCUUACGAUUGAGAUUUUGAACAAGGAGAAAAUCAAGGAAUCUGUUCAUUACGAAAUUAUUUCAACCUCAAACAAAAUGAAAAUUAACGAGCCUAUUGAAAGAACCGUAUCGCGGAUGAGAUAUAAGAACUUAAAUAUUCUUCAAAGGAGGUCAUCAAGUUAUUCAUCAGAGUCAGGAGUACCUAUAUAUCACUCUAUCAACUGACGAACAAAUUACACAACAGUUGAAAGCUGGUAUUUUCACCUUAUUGCUGUUUGGGUCAUCGCCUCGGACACAAUGCGGCGAUAGUAACAUUAAAUCAGAAAUGGAGCUUCUUUCCGGUUUUAGCUUGGUUCACCUUCUCCCCUUAUUGCUUUGGCGAACAUAGCAGGGCAGCGAAUAAUUAUAUUCCGGCCAUAGUAGCAACCAAGUCUGGAGUAUACAAUGCUUUGAUGGAUUUCAAUAACUCUCCGAAAACGCUGUAGCUCAUCCAACGCUUCUGUCGAUAAGUAUAUUCCUUCCGGGAAUACAGGCUAAGUUUCAAUUCAUCUACAGGAAUACUAGGAGAAGUGGUGACUGAAAUUUAACAUCAUUGUCAUCGACCCUUUUUACUUGAUGAGUAAUCACAAAAAAUAUCAUUGACGACUUUUUCCAAAGCACAGCCAGAGAUAAAAUGCCAAGAAGCACAGAGGUCUUGCAACCAAUGUUCGAAUAGAAUGACCAAGAAAUUUCAACUCGUAGUACUAUAGAAGUUGGACUGGAUUAUUCUUAUUGUGUCCAACUUCAGCUGAUAAGUUUUAAAACAGUUUUUGAACCCAACACAAUAAAAAUAUGUCUGCGAAAAGUUUAUAAUAAAUCGCUCAUCGGCUUCCGGUCCCUUCGGUUUCUGAGCCUCCAUAUGGGCCUUUUACACAUUGACGAGGAGGCCUUUAUCCUGGCAACAGUUUUUCCAUCAACGGCACACACAUUAACUUAUUCAGUACCGGCAUGGUUUCAGGAGCAUAAAAUAUUAAUUAAAGAAGAACAUUGUAGCUUAAGAAUCCUAAUACAAAAAUUACGAAGAAAUCUUACUGAAAAAGGAAUUGCGACUAAAGUAUUUUCUUCUUUUAUGAUAAA